CAAGUCGAGGGGCAUCAGUUUGGUUUGCUUGCAAACCAAAGCUGGCGACCGGCGCACGGGUGAGUAACACGUAUCCAACCUGCCUCAUACUCGGGGAUAGCCUUUCGAAAGAAAGAUUAAUAUCCGAUAGCAUAUAUUUCCCGCAUGGGUUUUAUAUUAAAGAAAUUCGGUAUGAGAUGGGGAUGCGUUCCAUUAGUUUGUUGGGGGGUAACGGCCCACCAAGACUACGAUGGAUAGGGGUUCUGAGAGGUUGAACGGCCACAUUGGAACUGAGACACGGUCCAAACUCC
rnacentral:rRNA from 1 species